AUUACUAGGAAAGCCAAGUCUCUCUUCCUGGAUUUCUUCUCCUAUAAACUGCCUAUUGAUACCUACCCACUUCUCUAUGGAGCACAGGUGAAGGAUAUUGGUCAUGUAUGUUGAAAUAUUUGUCCAACUUUAUCCCUAGUUUUUUGACUUUGUAAGGAUGAGGAAUUUUAAUUUGUAUAUACUUGUAGAUGCCUUUAGAACAAUGACCAUAUCUUUUUUUAUCUCCAUGCUCCAGCACCUAGUACAAUGUCUGCAAUGGAACAGGCGAGCUGUGAAGAUUUGUGGAAUGCAUGGGUGGACUAAAGACCUAUCACCUCAGUCUAGAAUGCCCAGCAUGUUGGAGCAUGUUAAGCACUAUAUGAGCUGCUGAGGAUACAGGAACAAACAACAACACAGGUGUGUCCUCUGCCCAAACCAGGCAUAAAUGAGCUUCCAGAUGAAUACAAACAAAUCUGGAAGGCUUUUGAGGAAGAAGGACCAUUAAAAAAGCUGCUGAUGACUGCCUGGAAUCUGGUUUGGAGCAUCUCCAAAGCCAACAUACUUUCCCCCAAGAAAAUACAGGAAGAUCUCUCUGCCCAGGCUUGGAAAUACAUAAGGAUCAGGAUUGAAGAAAACAUGCACAGACGGAAGGUGGGGGCUGGUACUGGUGCUGAGCCUGGCAUGGGGAGAGAGGAAACAAGAGUGAAAAGACUCUUUCAUUCUCCUGGCAAAGGCAGCCUUGCAGCUGGGGCCAGGGUCUGUGGUGCUGAUCCAUCUGCUGGGGCGUCACCUCCCGAGAGAGUGUGUGUUCCUCCAACCACGCGUGUCUUAGCACCAGUCUCUGGCAGGAGCCAGGAGAUGGGGAAGACAAUUUAAAUGAUUCACAUAACUUAAAAAAAUGUGGAUAAGCACUUUAUUUUUCUCCCAAACCAAGAAUAUCUACUCAAUUUAAACUUUUACCUGCGAUCUCUCUUCCUCAGACCCAGGGUCACGAACUUGCCGUCUAACCUGGCAGGUCAGUAAAACCUUACCCCGAUCAGGUCUUCAUCUGUAAAAUGAGAAGGUGGCAGCAGAGGCUCCGAAGGCUCCUUCCAAAUGAAAACAAAUACGAUUUUUACAUCAAUAGAAUUUCAAGGGGCUCACACUUGACUAUAUGAAAGAGAAAAUAAAAAAUUGUUUAUUUUUGUGUUGGCCUUUUCCUAUCAUUUUAGCUUACUUAUUUCUAUUU
rnacentral:lncRNA from 1 species